UGUGUUUACAUUGGAAGAUAAGUGACGGUCAUAUGUUUAUAUAUAGUCAUAGACGUAUAUAUAUAGUCAUAUAUGUAUAAGAGAAAUUCUAUAUAUACUACAAUUUUUUUUUUGCAAAUAUCUUAAAAAUUAAAUUUGAUAAUAUAUGUAAAGGAAAAAAUUGUUGAUUUCUAUAACAUAUUCAAAAAUUAUAAUUUAUAUAUUAUAAAAUUCAUAAUUUAUAUACUAUAAAAAAUCUCUUUAUUCUAAAUAAUUACCAAAUAAUAAUAGACGUGCAGAAAAAGCGAUAAUUAUCUUUUCAAAAUAUACUUUCUCAAUUGGCAUGAUGUACAUAUCAUAUCGAGUUGUGUAAUCAUAACAAUUAAUCGCGUUUAAUCAACGAUCUUUGUAUAGUUUCAAUAUUUAUGUAUAUAAAUACUAGAAUUAUGUAUAUUAUAAAUUUCAUAAUGAGUUUUAGUUGCUGUAAACAUAUCUAUAUAGUAGAUGAUUAAAAAAUAGUACAAUAAUCGAAAGUUUUAGUAAAAAUUAACUAAGAUGAUUCGAUCUAUCAUUCUCAAAAUUGAUAGAAUAUGGUAAUUUCUGAUGAGAUUUUUCAUAAAUAUAAAAAAAGAAAACAAAAAAAGAACAAGAAGAAUUUAACAAAAAUAUGUGAAAAUAAGAAUAGUGUAAAAAUAGUUAUAUAGAAAUAAAAAAAAGUGAUAAAAAUAAGAUAUAGAAAAAAAAGAAGAAAAAAAUACAGAAGGAGAAAUAUAUAAAAGAAAUAGAAGCAUUAAAAAACAUUAAAAAAGGAUAGCAAAAAGAAAAGAAAAGAAAAGAACAAAAGAAUAAAAGAUGAAUAAAAGAUAAGAAACAGGAUAUAAGGAAAUUAAAAUUAAUGGUUUCAGAAAAAAAAUUAUGAAAGUGAGCAAAAAAAAUAUGUAAUAUAGAUAAAAACAGAAAUGAAAAUAUUGUUAUAAAUAAGAGGAAGAAGAAGAUACAAAAUUCUUUUAGAAAUAAAGAAAAAUGUUAUAUAUAAAAAUGAAAUAAAAAAAAAUAUUCAGAAGAAGAGAGUUAAUGAAAUACAUAAAGCUUAACUGCAUGAUAUAAAAAAAGAAGAUUAAAUUAGAUUAUUCGUCAAAAAGGAUAGAACCGAAAGAUAAAUUAAGUUAUUUUUUCAGGUAUUAUUUAGGUAAUUAUGAAUUACAUGAAAUAAUUUUCAUCAUGAAAUAAGAUUCAAGACAUUUAUUAUUACAAAUAUUGAUAUACUAUUAGAGAUAUUGCCACCAAUGCAAUCCAUAUGUUCUUAUCUGAAAAAUGAUAUUCUUAUAUAUAAUCUUCUAAAAUCUUUUUUUGCUAUAAAUAAAUUCAAGAAAAAAUAUAAAAUUUGUAUAAUAUAGUCAUGUUCAAAAUAGAAGCAGAAGAGAAAUUAAAAAAGGAGUCCAGAUGACAAUAAUGAUGUCAUAUUUUUAAAAACUAAAUAAAAAUAAUAUAAAUAUGAUGUUCUUUAUAUUCUAUAUAAGAUGUAUAAAAAGUAUAUGUAAAGAAGAUUAUAAUUCUAUAUUUCUGGAUUGAUAAAAAUCUGUAAAUAAAAGUGUGGAAUGGAUUGCAAUCGUUUUCUGAAAAAAAGAAAAUUUCAUUUAAACAUUUUCAUCUUGAAUUUAUUUUAUUUACUUAUAUUCUUUAGUCAAUUACAAAUAUAAUUAAAUAUAAAGUUAUGUUACAAUAAAUAUUACAUUCAUUCUUGUUAUUUAUCAUAAUUUCAGAUGUCCAAAGAUUGUUUUAUAUUUUAUUUUUGUAUUCGCAAUAUUCAAACUUAAUAUUAGAUUUGAAACAUUUUAAAUUCAUCUAUGAGGGAGUAAUUAUUCGCUUAUUAUAUUAUGUCUUACAAAUUACCUGGUGUUUACAUUAAUAAAUCAUAAGUAUAAAAAAGAAAUUCUAUACAAGUAACAAUUUUUUUUGCAAAUAUCUCGAAAACUAAUCAUGUAAUAUGUAAAAAAAAAAAAUUUAUUCAAAAUAUUGAUUUUUCAAUAUAUUCAAAAACCAAUUCAACCAAAUAAAACAUAUUCGAUCAGUGAAGAUCUUUCUAUUUUUAAUAAUUAUUUAGAAAAAAGAAAGAAAGAUAUAGAAUAUAUAAAUUUGAUUUAUUUUUCUUGCAAUUAAUGAAGAAUGUAUAGAAUUCUUUUAUCUUUUUUCUUUUUAUGUCAUAAAUUAAAUAAAAUGAAUAUUUUUUUUUAAUUUUAAUUAAUAACUGCAUUUUAAUUUUUUUCAGAGAACACAAUUGCGAUGAUUCCUUUAAGAUUUUCCUUGAGUAAAAUACAUUACAUAAGUAAAACGUGAUGCAAUAAAAAGACUUGACUUUUUAUACAUCUAUUUUUAGUUUAUAUUUGCAAAUUUAAGAUUUUAAAAAAAUAAAUAAUUUCAAAGAUUAAAAUCGUUAUUUUAAUAUUAAUAUUUGAAAUUUCAAUAAUAAAAUAUUUUAUAACUUUAAAAUAGAUGUACAUAUUUAUAUCUAUUACUAUUCAUUUACUAUUACUAUUUUAUAUACUAUUUAUUAAGAUAUAUAAAAAGUACAUGUAAAGAACAUUACAAUGUGAUUUUAUACUUCUGGAUUAAUAAAGCUCUAUAAAUAAAAA